rnacentral:rRNA from 1 species
CAGUCGCCACGGGAAUACGUAGGGUGCGAGCGUUAAUCGGAAUUACUGGGCGUAAAGCGUGCGCAGGCGGUUAUAUAAGACAGAUGUGAAAUCCCCGGGCUCAACCUGGGACCUGCAUUUGUGACUGUAUAGCUAGAGUACGGUAGAGGGGGAUGGAAUUCCGCGUGUAGCAGUGAAAUGCGUAGAUAUGCGGAGGAACACCGAUGGCGAAGGCAAUCCCCUGGACCUGUACUGACGCUCAUGCACGAAAGCGUGGGGAGCAAACAGGAUUAGAGACCCGCGUAGUCCCUGUCUCUUAUAC